AAAGUCUCAGAAAGUACAGUCUGUGCUGGGCCUUCUUAAUCACCGUGGCAGUCUGAACAUCCCAGGUCAAGUCCUCUUUAAUCAUAACAUCCAGAAACUUAAAACUGGUCACCUGCUCUACUCGAUCCCCAUUUAUAACCAAGGGCUGAAUUUCUGAGCUUUU